CAUAUGACUCAUAUCAGGGAUAUUACUGGAAUUGGCUAUUUGGAUCUUACCAUCACUGAAGAUGUUCUCCAUCCCACGAUGCCAGGUCUAGAUUCCUCCCCAGGAGUCAUAUUCCACGUUGCCACAUUGAAAUGGAAAAGAGGAGGUAGAGAGUGUGGAGUGCAAGGUCCCAGCUCUUGCUUGUGGAGUUGUUGGAGGCUCGUGUGAUCAUGUAUGUAAAAGUCACUUUGAAAAUACAG